ACUCCUACGGGAGGCAGCAGUGGGGAAUAUUGCACAAUGGGGAAACCCUGAUGCAGCCAUGCCGCGUGUGUGAAGAAGGCCUUCGGUUGUAAAGCACUUUCAGUAGGGUAGGAAGGUAGUGUAGUUAACACCUGCACUAUUUGUACGUUACCUACAGAAGAAGACACCGGCUAACUCCGUGCCAGCAGGCCGCGGGUAAUACGGAGGGGUGCGAGCGUUAAUCGGAAUUACUGGGCGUAAAGCGCAUGCAGGCGGCCUGUUAAGUCAGAUGUGAAAGCCCGGGGGCUUAACCUCGGAAUUGUCAUUUGAAACUAGGCAGGCUAGAGUCUUGUAGAGGGGGGUAGAAGUUUCAGGUGUAGCGG
rnacentral:rRNA from 1 species